CUAACCCUGCUGUGUUCGUGACAUGGCUAUAUAUUCCUUGAACCAAUGCUUAUGGCAUUAGGUUGCCCGAUAGAUCGGAUAAGUGCGAUCGUCUUAGCUGACGAACCCAAAGGCCGACUGAAGGCGACCACCUUGAACCCUCGGUUCCAGGAUGCCGGCCUUGACGGCACGUGCGGGGCACUU
rnacentral:other from 1 species